UACGUAGGGAGCAAGCGUUGUCCGGAAUCAUUGGGCGUAAAGCGCGCGUAGGUGGCCUCAUAAGUCCGCUGUGAAAGUCAAAGGCUCAACCUUUGAAAGCCGGUGGAUACUGUGAGGCUAGAGUACGGAAGAGGCGAGUGGAAUUCCUGGUGUAGCGGUGGAAUGCGCAGAUAUCAGGAGGAACACCGGUGGCGAAGGCGGGUCUCUGGGCCGAUAUUGACGCUGAGGAGCGAAAGCGUGGGGAGCGAACAGG
rnacentral:rRNA from 1 species